UACAGUCUGUCCUAUCUUAUCUACCUCCUCUUGCAUCUGGUCCAUCCUAGCAGGCCGCCUUGUCCAUCAGCUCUCUAUGCUGACACAGCGUGUCCUCCAGUGCCCUCACCGCCUCCUAUCUCUCCUGACCUAAGGAUAAGCUCAUUGGACUACAAUGGCUACACUAGAGACAGACGGGAAAUUUUAGAUUCUGCUUUCUGGAAUGUUGUACUCACACAACGGAGCAGGCGUAGCA